rnacentral:rRNA from 1 species
UGCGAGUCGAGCGGUAGCACAAGAGAGCUUGCUCUCUGGGUGACGAGCGGCGGACGGGUGAGUAAUGUCUGGGAAACUGCCUGAUGGAGGGGGAUAACUACUGGAAACGGUAGCUAAUACCGCAUAACGUCUUCGGACCAAAGUGGGGGACCUUCGGGCCUCAUGCCAUCAUAUGUGCCCAGAUGGGAUUAGCUAGUAGGUGGGGUAAUGGCUCACCUAGGCGACGAUCCCUAGCUGGUCUGAGAGGAUGACCCCACCUGGAACUGAAACACGGUCCACACUCCUACGGGAGGCAGCAGUGGGGAAUAUUGCACAAUGGGCACAAGCCUGAUGCAGCCAUGCCGCGUGUGUGAAGAAGGCCUUCGGGUUGUAAAGCACUUUCAGCGAGGAGGAAGGGUUCAGUGUUAAUAGCACUGUGCAUUGACGUUACUCGCAGAAGAAGCACCGGCUAACUCCGUGCCAGCAGCCGCGGUAAUACGGAGGGUGCAAGCGUUAAUCGGAAUUACUGGGCGUAAAGCGCACGCAGGCGGUUUGUUAAGUCAAUGUGAAUCCCCGCGCUUAACGUGGGAACUGUUUGAAACUGGCAAGCUAGAGUCUUGUAGAGGGGGGUAGAAUUCCAGGUGUAGCGGUGAAAUGCGUAGAGAUCUGGAGGAAUACUGGUGGCGAAGGCGGCCCCCUGGACAAAGACUGACGCUCAGGUGCGAAAGCGUGGGGAGCAAACAGGAUUAGAUACCCCUGGUAGUCCACGCUUAAACGAUGUCGACUUGGAGGUUGUGCCCUUGAGGCGUGUCUUCCGGAGCUAACGCGUUAAGGCGACC